CCCCAAGACCUUAUGGACAGUGGUAACACCUGAAAAGUUGGAAUAUAUAAUACUCAGAGACCGAUCUGUAGGUUUUGCGGGGCACAGAGAGGGGUCAGCAGGACGGAGACAGUGGACGCGUGUCAUCUUCUUGCUCCUCCUGAUACUAACUCUACGAUCCAGUGGAGCUCACAGAGCACUCAAAAUCCUAUCUUUAUCGUUGCCGAUCUUAUUAUAUUGAUGAAACCAUGAUUUUGCGUCUUAGUAAUUUGGAUUUGGAAGGAGCAGUUGCUGUGACGUCCAUCUCUGUUUACCAAACAAUGGGCAAGGACGAGGAGACGCAAGAGUCGCAAGUCAUCCGUGACUGCAGGGUGUGAAGACUCGAUAUGCUGCUGAGGAGAGAAUCGUCUGCAACACAACCGUAAGGAUGCUUGUCGUACACCAAAGCACCAAUAAAUGCUGGUGUCCUCUGUGUGUAAGAUUUAAGAAUGGUCCUCUUUUACGGGAAGGUCAUGUCGAGGCUAUGCAACAUUCAACCCUAUGAUAUGGAAAUGUACGGAGCCACCGUCGGUCGAAGGAGAGAGCGUCGACACUCUGCACUCGCCCACUUCCACCAAACUGAGGCAGAUGUUUUGUACUGAAGCUACUGAAAUCACCAACUUAAUCAUUUGAUCUUUGUUU